rnacentral:rRNA from 1 species
AGAAUCAACGCUGGCGGCGUGCCUAACACAUGCAAGUCGCACGAGAAAGGGGAGCAAUCCCUGAGUACAGUGGCGCACGGGUGAGUAACACGUGAAUCAUCUACCUCCGAGUGGGGAAUAACUGAGAGAAAUCUUAGCUAAUACCGCAUAAUACCCACGGGUCAAAGCAGCAAUGCGCUUGGAGAGGAGUUCGCGGCAGAUUAGUUAGUUGGCGGGGUAAUGGCCUACCAAGGCUGCGAUCGGUAGCUGGUCUGAGAGGACGAUCAGCCACACUGGGAUUGAGAACGGCCCAGACUCCUACGGGGGGCAGCAGUGAGGAAUUUUCCGCAAUGGAGGCAACUCUGACGGAGCAACGCCGCGUGCAGGAUGAAGGUUUUCGGAUCGUAAACUGCUUUUCGUCGGGACGAGCAAGGCGGUACCGAGGAAGACGCCCGGCUAACUACGUGCCAGCAGCCGCGGUAA